rnacentral:rRNA from 1 species
UACGGGGGGGGCAAGCGUUGUUCGGAAUUACUGGGCGUAAAGGGCUCGUAGGCGGCCCACUAAGUCCGACGUGAAAUCCCCAGGCUUAACUUGGGAACUGCGUCGGAUACUGGUGGGCUUGAAUCCGGGAGAGGGAUGCGGAAUUCCAGGUGUAGCGGUGAAAUGCGUAGAUAUCUGGAGGAACACCGGUGGCGAAGGCGGCAUCCUGGACCGGUAUUGACGCUGAGUGAGCGAAAGCCAGGGGAGCAAACGGGG